AAUGCCAUAGCGCAGUGGUAGUGCUCCAGCCUCUUAUGCCAAAAGACCAGGGUUCGACCCCGGUGGCGAUU